rnacentral:rRNA from 1 species
UUUAUUAGCCACAGCCAACUGUGCAGCCCAAGACCGGUUAACUGAAGCUAAGCAGGGCUGAGCCUGGUCAGUACCUGGAUGGGAGACAGCUAGGGAAAACUAGGUUGCUGUUGGAA